AUCUAUCUAUUUGACAAACCUGGAGCAGUUACUAUCUUCUCCUAAAGUUUCUACUAAGAUGCAAGAAAAAAGAUUGUCCUUGUGCUUCCUGUCUGUCUGACUGUGGCAGCCAAGAUUGAAUGGGGAAAGAAAGGG